GCAUAUCUGCCGUCUCCAUCGCCGAUUCUGUCUCCGUCAAAGCCAAGGCCGCCGCGUGAACCAGUAACCGCCACGCUCCCCGCUCACAACCGCCGCUCCACCUGCUAUCGACGUCGGCCGACUAGUUGCUGUAACCGUUCAGAUUUGCUGUCUGUUCGCGACGGUUUCCAUCCGUGAAGCCCAGCCGCCACGUCUCAUUUGGCCGACCGUUGAUCGACCCAUACUUAGGAUUUUUGCUGCGAGUUCGACAUUCGUGCGUUGAGGUGUUGGGAGUAACGUUAGGCUCCCUUACAUUCACAACCAGAUUGUGAAUUGUUGAAGGUUCAGUUCGCCAUUAUAUAGGAUUGUUUCGAGGACGUUAGUGAUUAAGGAGCUUCCCUAACUUUGAGGUAAGGGAUUUUCUACUGGACUCAAUUGUGAUUGCAAAGGUAAUAAAGGCGGCAAACCGGCGAGGGGCAGGAAGGAAGCGUGAUGCCAUAGGAAAUAUGUUGUUUGCUUCCGCUUAUGGGUUCUUGUGAGGUUUAAGAUGAAUUGAAAUUUUGCUUACAAACGUUUAUUGUAAAUAGUAUUGUUUUUAUGUUUUCUUGAAUGUUUGAAAUUCAGGCCUGACUUAAAGAUGUUUUUAAAUUAGUUUACGUUUCAUUUUAUAUUAA